UUGACAAAUUGGGUGGAUAUGCGUAAC
rnacentral:sRNA from 1 species